rnacentral:rRNA from 1 species
UACGGAGGAUGCGAGCGUUAUCCGGAUUUAUUGGGUUUAAAGGGUGCGUAGGCGGGAUGCCAAGUCAGCGGUAAAAAUGCGGUGCUCAACGCCGUCGAGCCGUUGAAACUGGCGUUCUUGAGUGGGCGAGAAGUAUGCGGAAUGCGUGGUGUAGCGGUGAAAUGCAUAGAUAUAACUUAGAACACCGAUAGCGAAGGCAGCUUACCAGACUGAGUCUGACGCUGAUGCACGAGAGCAUGGGUAGCGAACAGG